rnacentral:rRNA from 1 species
AACCCCGAACGGUGGAUCACUUGGCUCGUGGGUCGACGAAGACCGCAGCAAACUGCGCGUCAUUGUGUAAAAUGCAGAUUCACACGAACAUCGACAUGUCGAACGCACAUUGCUGGCCCGAAACGCUGGCGUUUCGGGUCACGUACAUCCGAGGGUCG